rnacentral:rRNA from 1 species
GAUGAACGCUGGCGGCGUGCCUAAUACAUGCAAGUCGAGCGAACAGAUGAGGAGCUUGCUCCUCUGACGUUAGCGGCGGACGGGUGAGUAACACGUGGAUAACCUACCUAUAAGACUGGGAUAACUUCGGGAAACCGGAGCUAAUACCGGAUAAUAUAUUGAACCGCAUGGUUCAAUAGUGAAAGACGGUUUUGCUGUCACUUAUAGAUGGAUCCGCGCCGCAUUAGCUAGUUGGUAAGGUAACGGCUUACCAAGGCAACGAUGCGUAGCCGGCCUGAGAGGGUGGACGGCCACAUUGGGACUGAGACACGGCCCAGACUCCUACGGGAGGCAGCAGUGGGGAAUAUUGCACAAUGGGCGCAAGCCUGAUGCAGCGACGCCGCGUGGGGGAUGAAGGCCUUCGGGUUGUAAACUCCUUUCGCCCGGGACGAAGCCCACCUGGUGGGUGACGGUACCGUGGAGAAGAAGCACCGGCUAACUACGUGCCAGCAGCCGCGGUAAUACGUAGGGUGCAAGCGUUGUCCGGAUUUACUGGGCGUAAAGAGCUCGUAGGUGGUGUGUCGCGUCGUCUGUGAAAUUCCGGGGCUUAACUCCGGGCGUGCAGGCGAUACGGGCACGACUAGAGUGCUGUAGGGGUAACUGGAAUUCCUGGUGUAGCGGUGAAAUGCGCAGAUAUCAGGAGGAACACCGAUGGCGAAGGCAGGUUACUGGGCAGUUACUGACGCUGAGGAGCGAAAGCAUGGGGAGCGAACAGGAUUAGAUACCCUGGUAGUCCAUGCUGUAAACGGUGGGUGCUAGGUGUGGGCUGUGUGUUUGCAGUCUGUGCCGUAGCUAACGCAUUAAGCGCCCCGCCUGGGGAGUACGGCCGCAAGGCUAAAACUCAAAGGAAUUGACGGGGGCCCGCACAAGCGGCGGAGCAUGUGGAUUAAUUCGAUGCAACGCGAAGAACCUUACCUGGGUUUGACAUGCACCAGAUCGGCGUAGAGAUACGUCCUCCCUUGUGGUUGGUGCACAGGUGGUGCAUGGUUGUCGUCAGCUCGUGUCGUGAGAUGUUGGGUUAAGUCCCGCAACGAGCGCAACCCUUGUCUUAUGUUGCCAGCACAUUUUUGGUGGGGACUCAUGAGAAACUGCCGGGGUCAACUCGGAGGAAGGUGGGGAUGACGUCAAAUCAUCAUGCCCUUUAUACCCAGGGCUUCACACAUGCUACAAUGGUCGGUACAACGGGUUGCGACACUGUGAAGUGAAGCUAAUCUCUGAAAGCCGGCCUCAGUUCGGAUUGGGGUCUGCAACUCGACCCCAUGAAGUCGGAGUCGCUAGUAAUCGCAGAUCAGCAAUGCUGCGGUGAAUACGUUCCCGGGCCU